AAGAAGAAAUUUUACUGAUUAACAACGACGACGAUGACGAUGACGACGACGACGAGACAGUAGAGGCCUUCGUUCUCUUUGCGUGUUCGCCACUAUUUUUGUAGUAGAGGUCGAGAUACGAAAGGAAAACGAACGGGUGUCGCGUGGUUCGUGAAAUUUUUACAUCCAGUACGGCUCGGGGCUUCAGUCGGAUCGAGCUCAGGAGGCCUCUUCUUCUGAAACGUCGUCUUUUUACUACUAUUCAUCAUCAUCAUCAUCAUCACCUUCAGUUAAGUUUAUAAUCAUAUACUCGUCGUCCCCGUCUCUCUCUCGUUUUGUUAUUAAUAAAAAAAGAAAAAUUUGCAAGAAGAUACAAUAAAAACCAUUCGACGACGGGAAUAAAAUAAACUUCUAUUUUUAAACAAAUAAAUAUAAGAAAAAAAAGAAACAAGAAAAA